CCAGGAGCACCAGUCCUGCUUUAAAAUUCCAUCCUUUCAUGCAGCUGUGCCCUGGUUUGUGUGUCUGUCUACAUGUGCGGCCAGUAACAUCCAAAGGAGAUCCAUCACCUUUAGAGUUUAUUCCCAACUUUUCCUUCCAGCCACUGAUUUCCGACAGCAUAACCCACGGUCUGUCUGCUCCCCUCAGAAAACAACAUCAACGAUGAAGGUGCGUUGGCUGUUUUAGGAGCGAGAAGCAUCCAUCCCACCGCAGGCCUCUCUGUGCGUUAGGCAGCAGCAUCAGUGAUCAAACGUAUGUGGAUGUGUUGCACACAACAGGACUGUGAGCUCGUGCAUUGAAUUCUUCCAGUGAGAGACAUGAUGGUUCAGGUCUCCAGAUGGCUGUGACGUAAAGAAGAAGCAUCCUGCACGGAUUUCUUAAGAACAAACAGUCCCUAUUUGCCUUAAAGAGGAAUGCUCACGACGCUCCAAUUAACGCAAUCAGAGCCGGGCUCCGUGCCGGCACUCCGCCUUCCGCGCAGGAACCACGGGAGGAGGUGCAGCACGGCACAAACCCCAUUCCACACUACGGCCGAGCAGAAUUCACGCGGAGAGGAACCACGACGCGGCAGCUCGCGGCGGGCAGCGCUCCCGCAGCGUCCCGCUCCCGCAGCCAGGAGAGCCGCUUCCCAUAGAGCUGCCCUUAUCGUCCCUCUGGUGACCGCGGUGCCGCCGUACUGGCAACCCGGCGGUACUGCUGCUGGCAUGCAAGGGGAUGUCAGCACGAAUCCGAACUGUGCAAUAAGAGCAGGAGAACUAUCGAGAAUACAGCAUCUCAAGGAAAAACAAAUGAAACACGUACUCGGUCAGUAAUCACACACGGAAGCAACGCGCGCCGCUAAGCACCACGUAUUUAUAACAUCUAUAUGUAACACAUAGAGCACCAUCCGGCUUUAAUAAGGAAAAACAAAU
rnacentral:lncRNA from 1 species